AACAAAACAAUCUUACCGACCCCAAACUCUUGAACGUUAGUGCGUGUAUACUGGUUGCAUGAUUAGGAAAAGUAUGAAAAGUUAUUAUUGAAGAGAAAGUAAGAAAUAAGAAAGUUCUCAUAUUUCAUUACUGUUAUCCACUGUCAAUCACCGUAUGAGCAACCAGCAUUUCCUUUUCCUGGCUUUUCAUCCAUGUAAUCCCAUUCUGCCAUAAUCAGACCGGGAUUUCAUUUAAUCAAUGCCCUAAGCCUCGGAAAGUCAAUUCUCGUCCACCUUCAUUCAUUUCGUUUCCUCUUUCUGAAAGUGUUCCUGAAGGUUUCUGGUUCACAUACAGUUAUCAUUUAAUCUAGAUUUCAUUUAUUCACUGUCAUUAAUUCUCAGUGUGGUUGUGUUUUGAUCAAUUGAUCAAAUAGAUCUGAAAGAAAUGAGACCACACUUAAAGCCCUCAAUGUAAAGUCCAGACGCUUAAGGAUCAUAUUCCCAUCAAAUCCUAUAUAAAUAUGUGACGAGAGAGAUUGUGGAUGAUCCUAUACCUAUCUGGAAACAACGAAAUUCCCUGCAUAAACAACCAAUAUCGGAAUAAGUUCAAGUAAACAAGAAAAAGUUGUUUUUCUCACAAGUCUGUCGGUUUCAGUCAACACUUGAAGAUUUUAUGAAUUUAAGUGCCUCUCAAACUCUGAAGGGUCACUAGGGAUAAAAGUAGCACAUGGCAGAUGAAGCCUCAAUGCAUUUGAGCAGUGCAUUGUGGGAAAUAUUAUUGGGCAAAGUAACACUGGCUUCUGUCGAGCCAAUGCCAUAAAAGCAUACGGAUAAUAACUUCACAAGUAGACAGACGUGAUCUGUCUUUCCAGGUAAAGAAUAAAAAAGGAAGAAAGGAAACAAGAAAGGAUUUAGUCCCAAGACGUCUCGUAAUUUAGGCUGGAAGGUUUCUUUUUCACCUUUUACAAUUUAUAUUAUGACAUUUACAUUUCUGUCCACACUUUCAAUCAUAAAUAAAAAAAGAA